UACCUGCAGCUCGAGUGGUAACCGCUAUUAUUGGGCCUAAAGCGUCCGUAGCCGGUUUGGUAAAUAUCUGGGUAAAUCGUGAGGCUUAACUUCACGAAUUUCGGAUAGACUGCCAGACUUGGGAUCGGGGGAGGUCAGAGGUACUCCAGGGGUAGCGGUGAAAUGUUGUAAUCCUUGGAGGACCACCGGUAGCGAAGGCGUCUGACUAGAACGAGUCCGACGGUGAGGGACGAAGCCCUGGGGCGCAAACCGGAUUAGAUACCCGCGUAGUCCAGGGUGUAAACAAUGUGGGCUUUGUAUUGGAGAUCCCACGUGGGUGUCCAGUGCAGAAGAGAAGUUGUUAAGCCCACCGCCUGGGAAGUACGGUCGCAAGGCUGAAACUUAAAGGAAUCGGCGGGGAGCACAGCAACGGGAGGAGCGUGCGGUUU
rnacentral:rRNA from 1 species